GCCUGGGCCUGGCCCGGUGGACUUAGUGGUUUAACGGCCGCGGUAUUCUGACCGUGCGAAGAGUAGCGCAAUAACUUGUCCUUUAAAUGGGGACUAGUAUGAAUGGCAUCACGAGGGCUUAUCUGUCUCCUCUUUUAGGUCAAUGAAAUUGAUCUCCCCGUGCAAAAGCGGGGAUGCAAACAUAAGACGAGAAGACCCUGUGGAGCUUUAGGCACCAAGACAGAUCAUGUUAAAAAUACCUCAACAAGGGCUUAAACUAAAAGAAACCUGUCCUAAUGUCUUUGGUUGGGGCGACCGCGGAGAAAAAAAAAUCCUCCCUCUGCGUGGAACGGGAGCACUAAACCAAAACCUCCUACAACCAAGAGCCACAGCUCAAACCAACAGAACUUUCUGACCAUCAUUGAUCCGGCCCCCCGCCGAUCAACGAACCGAGUUACCCCAGGGAUAACAGCGCAAUCCCCUUUUAGAGUCCAUAUCGACAAGGGGGUUUACGACCUCGAUGUUGGAUCAGGACAUCCUAAUGGUGCAGCCGCUAUUAAGGGUUCGUUUGUUCAACGAUUAAAGUCCUACGUGAUC
rnacentral:rRNA from 1 species